rnacentral:rRNA from 1 species
AACGUAGGAGGCGAGCGUUAUCCGGAUUUACUGGGUGUAAAGCGCGUGCAGGCGGACGAGUAAGUUGGAUGUGAAAGCUCCCGGCUUAACUGGGAGAGGUCGUUCAAAACUGCUGGUCUGGAGCGUGGUAGGGGAAGGCGGAAUUCCGGGUGUAGUGGUGAAAUGCGUAGAUAUCCGGAGGAACACCAGUGGCGAAAGCGGCCUUCUGGACCACGACUGACGCUCAGACGCGAAAGCUAGGGGAGCAAACGGG